UACAGAGGGGGCAAGCGUUGUUCGGAAUUACUGGGCGUAAAGGGCGCGUAGGCGGCCGCCUAAGUCAGACGUGAAAUCCCUCGGCUCAACCGGGGAACUGCGUCCGAUACUGGCAGGCUUGAAUCCGGGAGAGGGAUGCGGAAUUCCAGGUGUAGCGGUGAAAUGCGUAGAUAUCUGGAGGAACACCGGUGGCGAAGGCGGCAUCCUGGACCGGUAUUGACGCUGAGGCGCGAAAGCCAGGGGAGCAAACGGG
rnacentral:rRNA from 1 species